GCGUAUGUAUAUAGUGCAACGGUUAGUAUACGCACCCGAAAAGAGUGAGAUCUGGGUUCGAAUCCCGGCUGACGCA